rnacentral:rRNA from 1 species
AACUUCUGAACGUUGACCUCGGAUCAGGUAGGAAU